AAUGCUGAUAUUGUGCAAGACCUCGUCGCCAGCAAAAUAUUUGUUUGUCAUUAAAAAUAACUAAUCUGUAAAGAUGGAGUCUAAAGCACGCAUUGAGUAUUUCUUCAAAUAUACCAUUCUUCCUUUUUAGACAGAUGACCUGUCGAACAGACUGUUGACAGUGCUGUCAGUCAACCCUACCGAUGUGAAGGAGGUCCGCUACACCCUAGAGGUGUUAUUGCCUGAGGUCAUCAGCCAGUGGCUUCGUGUUCAGUUUGGGAUGAAUAGAUAUGAAGUCAAGUGUGUACUCCUAAAAAAAACGGCCAUCCCUUUACCACCAGAAAAAAUUGACAGUGUCAAGACAAACACUGACAGCAGCUCUAAGCCCCAAGACAAAGCUAUGCUGGAAUAGGAAGAAGGGGGGAGUUGCAGGCCGUUUUUGAUCUUUUGCAGCAAUGCCUG